GCUAGUGUAGCUUAAUAGGUAGAGCAGCUGAUUUGUAAUCAGCGGGUCGGGAGUUCGAGUCUCUUCACUAGCU
rnacentral:tRNA from 1 species